rnacentral:lncRNA from 1 species
CCCCACUCCCCCUCCCAACUUUAACCCCGCAGGCAUCCCGAGCCCUCACAUUUUUCUUCUUUAUCAAUCAUUAUCUUCUUAUCCCACCUACUCCAACCAAACACUUUUUUUCACUAUUCUAGACUAACUCCAACCUUCAACCAAACACAAAAAAAUUUUAACAUCAUUUUAACCAUGAACUUAACCCUAUCCCUGGAAUAGCUAUUUUUUCUUAACCCCGAACCAAACGGUGGCGUAGGAGCUAGUCAUUUUUAGAAUCUUAUAUCACCUGAUAAUUCUAGUAUAUAUUGUCUUGGCUGCUACACCAAUGGGUCUUGAACUCGUAGAAGUCAACUCUAGAAUCUUACAUCAUUAGAUUAUUCUGGUAUAUAUCGUCUAUUCUGCAUAAUGCUCUAAUAGUACAGAAAAAUGAUUGGAUGAGUUUGUAACGCACAAAUAAUCCAAUGAAAAAAUAAUUUUGGUUGAAAUAUAUGAGACAUGACACGCGAAUAAUAAUAAACUGAGCUUAAGUAUUUUUGGCGAUUAGAUUAUUUGGGCAACAACAUUAGAGCAGAGCAUCACAAUUUUAUAAGGCACAUUCUUAUAGAAUUUUUCGUCCUCGUAAAUGAACUGUAGUUGCGUAAUAGGGGAGACUUUAAUAGAAAAGGGUUAUCUCCGUGUUAGGUCACCGACAAAUUAACAAGCAUCAUGCAACUUUUUUUUUUCUCUCUCUCUCUCUCUAUUUUUUUUUUCUUAUAUAUAUANUAUAUAUAUAUAUAUAUAUAUAUAUAUAUUCUUUCAAACUCUUUUCUACUUCUUAUCCAUGUAAAACUAUUCCAAGAUUCAAUCACCCUCUACUUUCCUUUUUUCUUUUUUUCCCUUUUUUUUUCGUUUUUGGUAUUGAUGUGUAGAAGCACGUGGCUUUAAAUUCUUUUAUCUUAUUUUUAACUAGGAUGGUAUAAACUAAUAAAAGAAACGUAAGUACGAGAAAAUAUACACCAGAUCUUUUCUUAAACCAAAAAAGAAAAAUAGAUAGUUGUCUACAGACUAGGUUCUUUUAAAUUCGAUUAUAGAUGCUAUGAAAUAAAAUUUUACACCUUUUACGUCAAGGUGUUAACGAAAACAGAAAAAAAUAGUAUCACCAUUUAUCAAAAAACGUUAUAACAAAUUAUAAAUUUUACUGUUUAAACUCUCUAUAAUUAGUUAUAAUUUAUAAAUAAUCCUGGUCCGUAAGCAAGGUCCACGCAUUAAAAUAUUCAAACAAAAUAAUCAUAUACUUUUUUUUUUUUUCAUUUUUUGCGUCUCACCGACCAAAUAUUAUUUUGGGGCUCGAAACGUUUACAUGUGCCGUGCCGACCAGGUCUUGUGACCGUAACAGAAACAAUUCCAAAAAUAUUUAUUUAAUAUUUUUUUCCAAAACAAAAAAAAAAUUUCCUAAAUUUUGGACCACGUUAAAACAUGCAUGUAUUGACCCAACCAAUUGGACCUUAAAAAAGAUAAUAUAUAAGUUAAAAAAGGGAUGAAAUGUUUGCAUGAUCCAUCUACUAUUCCUAUAUGACAACUUGGUACUUAAUUGCACUUUCGAUUUAAAUAAUUAGGUUAAUUUUAUACAGGUCCCUACAAAUAUAGUGAAUUAUAAAUAUAUUCCUAUAAAGUUCAACUUUUAUAUGUUAUUCCUGCAAAGGUUCUAAUAUUUUCAAAUAUAUCAUUCGGAUUUGUUACCGUUAAAAUACUAUUUAUUUUAUAAGUGAAAUGACCUUUUUACCAUCACAAAUAUAUCCCUCCAAAAGUUUCAAUUAUUAAUUAAAGAGGGAUAAAAAUGUCAAUUCAUCUCAUUAACUAAUUAGGGUUAAGCAUUUUACUUAUGAUUAACUAAUUUUUUCUAACGGAUUCUAAUGACAGAGACAUAUUUGAAAAUAUCAUAAUUUUUGCAGGGACAACAUAUAAAAGUUGAAUUCUGUAGGAAUAUAUUUAUAAUUCACUAUAUUUAUAGGGACAUGUAUGAAAUUAAUCCUAAAUAAUUUAUAUCCGAACUUUGACAUACACUCGUCGGGCGCAAUAUCGAGAUUGUAGAGGGACUAUGUACACAUUUUGUGCUUUUAAAAGGACAUGGAAGUGAAUCUUGUGGAGCCAAAUAAGAUAUCCUAUUCAGACCAAACCGGCCUAGCUAAUUGGAUAGCAAUUUGAGUCAAAAUCAUAGCCUCAUUUUUAGGGCUUAUUCAAUUUAAAAUAGCGUUACUCUCUACCCUUGGCCACAAAAAAGUGUCACAAUAUUGUUUUCAGUCUCCUAAGGGGAGGCCAUGAUAGAAUUUAUGUAUUAAAAAAAAUAAAGGAUAAAAAGAUGCUCACCUUGAUCCGAGUAUGUGGAGUUGUUUUCGAUUAUAUGAUCCUAACUUGGUGUAACACCACGUUAAAUUGCGCUAAAUAAUUAAGUAUAUAUUCAUGCAUACAAGGUUUCACGAAUAUUAUUGUCACAUCUAUAGUUUGAAAAUGUGAUCAGGAGUCGCUAUUUUGAGAGCUUAGACUUUGUAUCAUUAGGUCGUUUUGGAAUAGAUUGAACAAAAGCGAUGGAGUUUAUGUUGAAAUUUUAUAAAAAACUAAGAUUGUACCUUUUAUCAUGAUUUCGAUUUCUGUACCCGAAUUAUUGACGGUGAUUCUUUCUUGUAGUUCGUCCUCGUUUGCGAUCUGCAAAGUAGCAAAACGUUUCGAGUCUAAUUCUCUUAUCCUCGGAGAUGGAGCCGUCACAGACAAUUGGAUUAGGGUUAGACCGGGACUCCCGUAUGUUACAUAUUUAUAUAUAACCUAAUCAUAAGAUCUAUCGUAUCUUUAUAGAUCGACUUAAAUAGAUUGACUGUAUCUAUAUGGAUCGCCUUAAAUAUAUAUCACGUGGGCCACAUCCAACAGUUUACCAAUAUCUUUUAAAAGAUUCGUCGAAAAGAAGUAUAAUUUCGACUUGCUUAUUAUCUGAAAAUAAAAGCUUGUUUUCGGCCUCGAUGUUGUUUUUAUUUUUCGAUUAAAGUAACUAUUCUCAUUUUUGUUACAUGCCUACACUGAUACACUCUUCAAAUAAAGACAUUGUGUUUCCUUUUUCUUGAAUUAUUGUUAUAUAUUUUAAUUAGAAAUGACUCUCCACAAUUUGAGUUUCUUUUUUUGUUUUUUAAAAAAUGGUGUUCUUGAGAAAGCAUAUAUUGAAAAAAGAGCAUAUAUUGAAAAAAGAGGAUCUCCAAACUUAGUCAUUAUAUAUUGAUUGAAUUUGACAAUAUCUGAUAAAUAUAGUUUGCCCAUAAUAAAAUGAAUCAGUUAGUUCAAAAUCUAGUUGUUUUAUAUUUUCUGCUAGGCUCAUUUGAAAAUGUUGUUGUUUGAUUUGCUCUUAUACCAAUUGUUGGAACUAGUAUUUGUGCUGAUACCAAUUAUAUAACUUAAGAUGUAAAAUCGAAUAAAAUAAUAUGGAGUAGAGAUAUUGGAGGAGGAAGAAAAUAACUAAACUAAUACUUUAUUAAUAAAAGGCAAAAUUACAUUCUGAUACCAAUUGUUAGAAGCGUAAUUUUCUCUAAUACCACUUGUUGUUGUUUGAUUUGCUCUAAUACCAUUUGUUGGAACGAAAGAAGUAUAAAACUAAAUCUUUAUUAAAUAUUCUUAGACUAAAUUUCUAUGGUGGAUAAUUUUUCACACAUUUAUAGCCGUCUAUAUACAGGCAUAAAUCAAAAUUCUAAUAACAAUAAUUAAACAAGAUUUAAACUUAUCUCUUAUGUCUAACCAACAAAAUAUUAAGAGAUAAACUUGACAGAAAUAAAUCUAAAUUAAUAAAAAAUAUUGGGUUACUUAUCAACAGAAAAAGAAAAAAGAAAAAAGAAUGAAGCGAAAAGCAUAUUACCUUUUUCUUUCUAAAAAAAAAAUGAAUCAAUUAAUAUCAUUAAUUUCCAAAAAUGAAAGAAAAAACCUAACUAUAUAAUUGCACUAAUAAUAGGCAAUUUUACUCUAAUUUGUGUGGCUUUGAACUUUCUCUAAUUCCUCAUUUCUCUUCCCUUCUAGUGGGGCUCUAUGCAACUAAAUAUAAAUUAAUUGCAUCAACCCCACCUGAUCCCUUGUGUUUUCACAAUAAAAGGAGACAUCAAAUGUGGGGUUUCUCCACUUUCUUGUUUUUUUUUUUCACUUUUUUUGUUUUUUCUUUUUAAACUUUUUUUUUUUUCUUUUAAUGGUCCCCUCCUCAUUAUUAACACUAUUUAAAUUUAAAAGUAUUGCAGGGAUAUGUAACCCUUUGUUAGAGAACCAACCAUUUUGUUUAUUUCCUUAACUCCUUUCUUUCUUUAUCUUUUCUCUCAUUCAAUGAUUGUUUGCCAAAUCUUAACAACAUAUGGUUUAGUUUCUUAGCAAUGAAGAUAAUGACCAACUCCACCAACUAUUAAUUCUAGAGUAUUAAAUUAUUUUAACACAUCGUUUAAGGCAUAAAUGUUUAAAAUUAAGUAGGUGAAUCUCUCUCUCUCUCUCUCUCUCUCUCACACUCACACACACACACACACACAUUUAAAAGCUUAAAGGAUUUAUCAAAACUCAAACACAAGGCUUUUUAUGGUAAUAUAUACUAUAUUAACAAAAAUGUAAAAAUUUAUGAAUGAUUUUGCGUGAAUUAUUGUUUGUUGUUCAUUAGCGAAAAUAGUUAUCGCUUUUGUUCGAAGACUCUGCAUCAAUACUUUUGUAUGAAUUUUUAGUAUACCAUCAAAGUAUUGAUAAAGAGUUCGCUACAUAAUAAGGCUUACUUUAAUUAGAUCUUAUUGAAAAAUAUUAGGUAGAAACUA